GGCACCGUGGCCUAAUGGUAAGGCGUUGCUUUCCGGUUAUAGGAUCCUGGCAAAGAUUGUGGGUUCGAGUCCCAUCGGUGUCG
rnacentral:tRNA from 1 species